AGUGAACGCUGGCGGUAGGCCUAACACAUGCAAGUCGAACGGCAGCACAGUAAGAGCUUGCUCUUACGGGUGGCGAGUGGCGGACGGGUGAGGAAUACAUCGGAAUCUACUUUUUCGUGGGGGAUAACGUAGGGAAACUUACGCUAAUACCGCAUACGACCUACGGGUGAAAGCAGGGGAUCUUCGGACCUUGCGCGAUUGAAUGAGCCGAUGUCGGAUUAGCUAGUUGGCGGGGUAAAGGCCCACCAAGGCGACGAUCCGUAGCUGGUCUGAGAGGAUGAUCAGCCACACUGGAACUGAGACACGGUCCAGACUCCUACGGGAGGCAGCAGUGGGGAAUAUUGGACAAUGGGCGCAAGCCUGAUCCAGCCAUACCGCGUGGGUGAAGAAGGCCUUCGGGUUGUAAAGCCCUUUUGUUGGGAAAGAACAGCAGCAGGUUAAUACCCGGCUGUUUUGACGGUACCCAAAGAAUAAGCACCGGCUAACUUCGUG
rnacentral:rRNA from 1 species